UAGGGAAUCUUCGGCAAUGGACGAAAGUCUGACCGAGCAACGCCGCGUGAGUGAAGAAGGUUUUCGGAUCGUAAAACUCUGUUGUUAGAGAAGAACAAGGACGUUAGUAACUGAACGUCCCCUGACGGUAUCUAACCAGAAAGCCACGGCUAACUACGUGCCAGCAGCCGCGGUAAUACGUAGGUGGCAAGCGUUGUCCGGAUUUAUUGGGCGUAAAGCGAGCGCAGGCGGUUUCUUAAGUCUGAUGUGAAAGCCCCCGGCUCAACCGGGGAGGGUCAUUGGGAACGGGGAGACUUGAGUGCCGAAGAGGAGAGUGGAAUUCCAUGUGUAGCGGUGAAAUGCGUAGAUAUAUGGGGGAACACCAGUGGCGAAGGCGGCUCUCUGGUCUGUAACUGACGCUGAGGCUCGAGAGCGUGGGGAGCAAACAGG
rnacentral:rRNA from 1 species